CAGCCGCCACGGUAAUACGAAGGGGGCUAGCGUUGCUCGGAAUGACUGGGCGUAAAGGGCGCGUAGGCGGCUCAUACAGUCAGGCGUGAAAGUCCUGGGCUCAACCUGGGGUGGUCGCUUGAGACGUGUGGGCUAGAGUGGGAAAGAGGGUCGUGGAAUUCCCAGUGUAGAGGUGAAAUUCGUAGAUAUUGGGAAGAACACCGGUGGCGAAGGCGGCGACCUGGUCCUUUUACUGACGCUGAGGCGCGAAAGCGUGGGGAGCAAACAGGAUUAGAUACCCCCGUAGUCCCUGUCUCUUAUA
rnacentral:rRNA from 1 species